rnacentral:rRNA from 1 species
CGUGAGGGAAGCUUGCUUCCCUUAACGACGACUGGCGCACGGGUGAGUAACGCGUAUCCAACCUUCCCAUGACCACGGGAUAACCCGUUGAAAGACGGACUAAUACCGUAUGACGUCGUUUGCUGACAUCAAAUAACGAUUAAAGGUUUGGCGGUGAUGGAUGGGGAUGCGUCUGAUUAGCUUGUUGGCGGGGUAACGGCCCACCAAGGCGACGAUCAGUAGGGGUUCUGAGAGGAAGGUCCCCCACAUUGGAACUGAGACACGGUCCAAACUCCUACGGGAGGCAGCAGUGAGGAAUAUUGGUCAAUGGGCGAGAGCCUGAACCAGCCAAGUAGCGUGCAGGAUGACGGCCCUAUGGGUUGUAAACUGCUUUUAUGCGGGGAUAAAGUGCGCGACGUGUCGUGCAUUGCAGGUACCGCAUGAAUAAGGACCGGCUAAUUCCGUGCCAGCAGCCGCGGUAAUACGGAAGGUCCGGGCGUUAUCCGGAUUUAUUGGGUUUAAAGGGAGCGUAGGCCGCCAGGUAAGCGUGUUGUGAAAUGUACCGGCUCAACCGGUGAAUUGCAGCGCGAACUGUCUGGCUUGAGUGCACGGUAAGCAGGCGGAAUUCAUGGUGUAGCGGUGAAAUGCUUAGAUAUCAUGAAGAACUCCGAUUGCGAAGGCAGCUUGCUGCAGUGCGACUGACGCUGAUGCUCGAAGGUGCGGGUAUCAAACGGGAUUAGAUACCCUGGUAGUCCGCACGGUAAACGAUGGAUGCCCGCUGUCCGCCCCUUUGUGGCGGGUGGCCAAGCGAAAGCGU